GGGUAAGGAGGUCGUAUAGGCCUGGUGGGACAAACUUCUAUGAGGUUAUUGCGGAGAAGAUCUGGCAGUAACUCUGUAUAGGUCAUGGGGAUAGGAGUGGAAUUGACGACCUUCUCAUCCCGAUUGUAAUUCCUCUGCUCAACGGCUUUAUUGGACCCAUAGGAAUGUGACAUCUGAGGAUAGGCAGUAAAAUUCGUAUUAGCCUUUUGCUUUCUAUUUUCCUUCUGUCCAAGACCAUACUCAUUCAAAUUCGCUACCAGAUUUGGAUUUAGUGCAAUUUUUUCAUUUCUU
rnacentral:lncRNA from 1 species